GUGGAGAUUGAGAAAGGUAAACAAAUGAGAAAGGGAUUUAAGAAUGGUUUGAAUAAGGAAAGUAGGACCCAAAUGGGGUAUAAAUAGGACCAAGGAGGCUCCCCAACGUUCAGAUUUUGAAGAAAUGACCGUUUAUAGUCGUUUUGAGACGUUGGCAACGGCUAUAAUCAUCAAUGCAGCGCAGAAAUCCUUUUAAAAAACUGUCUGGAGCACUUUUAAUCGAUUAAAGUUAAAUUUAAUC
rnacentral:lncRNA from 1 species